AUACGUAGGGUGCGAGCGUUGUCCGGAAUUACUGGGUGUAAAGGGAGCGUAGGCGGGAGUGCAAGUCAGAUGUGAAAUACAUGGGCUUAACCCAUGGGCUGCAUUUGAAACUGCAUUUCUUGAGUGAAGUAGAGGUAAGCGGAAUUCCUGGUGUAGCGGUGAAAUGCGUAGAUGUCAGGAGGAACACCGGUGGCGAAGGCGGAUGUCAGGACAGUAGAUGGCGUUGAGGAGCCAUAGCGUGGGGAGAAAACAGGAUGAGAACCCCGUGAAGUCCGCGCCGUAAACGGUGAAGUCUAUGUGUAGGUGGUAUCGACUCCCUCUGUGCCGCAGUUAACCCAAUUAGUAUUCCACCUGGGGAGUCAGUUCGCAAGAAUGAAACUCGAAUGAAUUGGCGGGG
rnacentral:rRNA from 1 species